GUUUAAAUAGCUUAUUUAGAGUAUAGCAUUGAAGCUGCUAGGGAAAAUUUAUUUUUUUAAAUA
rnacentral:tRNA from 1 species